CCAGUGGAAUCUUCCUCACUCACACAGCCCUCAAGCUCUUGCUCUCAUCCUAUGAAACAAGCCUGCAGCCUCUCAUGUGGAAAGAACAACUCAGGAAACAGUUGGACCCCAUCCUGCUCACUCCCUCUCCUUCCUCAUCUCCCUGCAUCCUUCCCAGGAAUGCAGAGCAUUAGCAGCCACAUUAACUGAGCAGGGAGCACCAUUUUGACAUGCAGAUGCCAGGGUUCAGAUGAGUCAAGUGUGUACCAGGAGAGCAGAUGUAGUGAGUGAUAUCAGGUGGAGCACGUGAUGAUGUGGACAGUGCCAUGUAAAGAUAUAAUGGGAUGCACCAAGAUGAGAUCCUCACCUACAGCUGAGAUAUCUACAGAAUUACGACAACAGAAAUAACUGAGGUGGCAACACUGAAUACACAGCAUUAAAUGGAGAUGGUGGAAUAUGGCCCAGCGCUGAGGAGCACAAUCCACCCAGUGGCCACAGCAGGUGGCCUCUUAACAGCUGGCCUUGAGCAUGUCACCCUAGUUCCUGCCUCACUUUAGUUGUGCAUCUCUGAAGGUCCUGAUGCUGUCUGAGAGCCAUGCAGAGUAAUACGAGGGCUGAAGUCUUCCAUUGCAACCAGAAAAUUUCACCAUCCUUUUAAGGCUGGAUGGAGUCAUUCUCUGGCCAGAGGUUUUUGUCCCUGUGGAGGAGGCAUGGAGAUCAUUUCCGACCCAGGAUGAGAUCCUCAG